UGUCCCAUAGUUAAAUGGUAUAAUUACUCGCUCAUAACGAGGAGUUAUUGGUUCAAUUCCAAUUGGGACUA
rnacentral:tRNA from 1 species